rnacentral:tRNA from 1 species
CGCCGUCCAGGAGGGGGAGGGGUUCGGGGCCGUCGCGAUCGGCCGCCUGCUGCUGUUCGAGGCCGGAGGCGGCGC